UGGGGAAUAUUGCACAAUGGGCGCAAGCCUGAUGCAGCGACGCCGCGUGAGGGAUGAAGGCCUUCGGGUUGUAAACCUCUUUCGUCAGGGAACAAGGCACUACGUUUUGGUGGUGUUGAGGGUACCUGGACAAGAAGCGCCGGCUAACUACGUGCCAGCAGCCGCGGUAAUACGUAGGGCGCAAGCGUUGUCCGGAAUUAUUGGGCGUAAAGAGCUCGUAGGCGGCUGGUCGCGUCUGUCGUGAAAACUUCCGGCUCAACCGGGGGCUUGCGGUGGGUACGGGCCGGCUAGAGUGCGGUAGGGGUAACUGGAACUCCUGGUGUAGCGGUGGAAUGCGCAGAUAUCAGGAAGAACACCAGUGGCGAAGGCGGCCUUCUGGGCCAUAACUGACGCUGAGGAGCGAAAGCUAGGGGAGCAAACAGGAUUAGAUACCCUGGUAGUCCUAGCCGUAAACGAUGGACACUAGGUGUGGGGGAAUAUUUCUUCCGUGCCGCAGCUAACGCAUUAAGUGUCCCGCCUGGGGAGUACGGCCGCAAGGCUA
rnacentral:rRNA from 1 species